UCAGCACUGUUUCACAGGAUUAGAAAUAAAAUGGAGAAUAAUAAGAUGGAGAAAGCACCUCGAUAUAUUUUUUUUUUAAAAGGGCCAGGUAGGCUAAAGGUUCUCCUCUAGAUUCCUGUUGUACCUGGCACUGCCAUGGGCCAGGAGCACCUCCAGAGUGGGAGCGGGAUUCCCUCCCGGGGGCUUGCGGCAGGCUGCCGUGCCUGCGGGAGACCCCGGCAGCUCUCCGCCCUGCUCCCGCUCGGUGCACAGCUCACGGAAAACCUCGGGCUCCGGUCACGUGCCCGGGACGGGGUCCCGGCUGUGCGGCCGCAGCCGGAACGGGCGGCGGCUCCCGGGGCGGCUCCGCCGGAUCACCGCGGCUCGCUCGGCUGAUUGCUCGGAACAGCUCCCGCAGGAAGAGCCCCUGCGCAGGACGGGCCUGUAUUUGUGUCUACAGCCAUAAAAAUCUGUUGGUGGGGCAGAGUGAGGGAGCAGCGUGGGAAGAGUGAGGUGCUUGCUUCUGGAAAGCAGGAGGAAGUUAUGGAUAUAUUUGUGUUCUAGAGUGGCCGGGAGCAGGCAGUUCCAGGACAGCUUCCUAGGGUGGUCUUGCACCCUGCCGGGACAAAGUGUAAACCUGAGAGUGAGAUAAAGUGAUCAGAACGGGGUCACUUUCAUCUUCAAAACAGCGAUCCUGUAUUUUGACUGAAUAUCAGAAAGGAUCUCAUCAUGACUGUUGUCAGCAGUAACACAUUUAUGACACUCUGAUGUUUGUGAGAAGAGCCCACUAUGUGAUUCACAUGAAACCAUGUUCCCCCCUGGAAACCCAGGUCUGGUGGAAGGUCCUGGAGCCCAGACACAAAGCCAUGGCGAGCUGCAAAAUACCCUAAAUCUGUUUGCUGGAGGCCAAACAUGGAGAAGAACAAUUGGUAACAGCUGCUCGUGGAAAAGCAGGUGAAUGUGACCAAAAGCCUGGCCUACACUUCUCAGGUAAAAUGAUUUUACCAGAAAAGGAAAUUCUUUUCAAAGAGCCAAAGAAAAAAGAUAUUUGAGGCCUCCUCUGGGAAAUAAGGAUGAGCAAUCGGAACUGCUGGUUUUCUUUGUAUAAUCGAAUACUGUAUUCCUGGAGGGAUCUUUUUAUUUGGUUCUUUCCUCUCUCUGGUUCCUCUCUACAAUGUACACAAGCUGCAGUACAGAAAAUAGAGAUAGUCAAAGAGAGAUAACACUGUUCAGAGAGAAUUUAAUUAAUAAGUCCUUGUGGGACUGAAUGGGUAAGUAUGGAAGGAGUGGAGGAAGAUGAGCAAAAAGAAAUCCUAUUAAUGUCUGACUGUAUUAUAUACUUCAUUGAAAGAAAGCAAAAGGUGCACCAAAACAAGUUUAGAGUUCUUGAAAACCCUAAAAAAUAAUGUUAGGCAAUGUAUUUUCUCCUUUGAUUUUGCUUUAGACAAACUUUAUACUGUGCCACUUUCAAGGAGGACACUUUAGCAAUAGACAUCUGAAGACCUCAGAAAGGACUGGGGAAACAGAACAGAGGGAAAGACUCCCUCUUUUUUUUUAACCACCACCUUCCACAGUUGCUCAAGAGAGACACCCAUGAAGGCCUGCAUGGGUGGAUGCAGGGUGCACCGAGACACAAAUACUGGACACCCGUUGCCCCGCAGCACGCAGCAGGCAGGCAGCAGCAAUGCUGUUUAGUUUCAGGCUGACCCAUGAAUGAAAGAUUCUUGGCGUACUGAUCUUGACCUCUCUUCUGUCCUGUCAGCUGUCACUUCCCAGUGCCCUUGGGCUGGCUGAAUUUGCUCUUGCUGAUGGCCUUUGUAUAGUUCCCUGUCCCGGUGCUUGUGUUGAAACUGGGCUUUUAGGUUUUUCAGUAGAUCUUGGAACUGCAAAUUAAAAUCACAUAUCCCUGCUUUUACUAGAAGCUUUGCUGAGGUCCAGAAGUUGCUGGAAGCCUGAUACUCUUCACCGUUUACUGGCUGUGAAUUAUGUAGCUACCCGUAUUUUUAAUUUCCUUUCAUUUACUUGUGUGUGCAGGACCUCUGUCAUGACCAGCAGGAAGCUCUCCCCUGGGUACAGAGAGGCAAUUCAGCGUCUGUGCCAACCCCAGCUUGUAAAAGCCUGGCAGCUCUUGACAAACAAAGCCUAGAAAUGUUGCUAUUAAAAGCAUUUAUUGAAUAAAUCCAUAUGUGACAAAAUGAUAGCUGCAAAAAGCAGUAGAAUUGUUUUUUAAUGGAUAAAUCUUAUUUGAAAGUUAAAGCUGAGCUGGGAAAGCUCAGAGAACAGUCACCUGAGGAUAGAGCUUUGAGCAACGUGGGAAAAAUUAGAACCAAUAUGAACAAUAUAGAGGAUAAUAGAUUUGAGAACAUCUGCUUUGAGUGGAAGCUUUUAUGUAAAGAAAAGAGAGGAUAAGCCUGGAUUUAACUUUGGUAUUUGAACGUUCUCACAAAUAGAGCUAGCAGAACAAGCCCUCAUUGCCUUUAGCAGGCCUGCAGCAGUUAGAAGAGCAGGAGCCCUGCCCUGCACAGGGUCCAGCAGGCUGCCCUGGGCAGGGCUCUGCUCCAGCCAGGGCACAGCACAGCUCCCAGGCACAGCUUUGCUUUGCACCUUGGCCACAAACGGCCCCAGCCAGCCGGGACAGCCUGGGUGCUGAGGGAGCAGGGCAGGAAACCUCCCUACAGGGCAGGGAAAGGAGCAGAGGAACAGUGAUUGUGUAAAGGCUCUUGCAACAGCUGAAGAGCUCUGCUGGAAAUCCAGAAUUACCAAGGGACACGAUCUUGGUUUUAUGUCUCUGCUUAAAGUGUCUUUGCUUUGGCCUUUCCUGGGUGAUCAGAACUUGGUCUAGACAAGAAGCAGGAAAAAAAGCUCAUUGUUUAAAAAGAGACAUUGGGACAGUAUUUGGCCAUAAGUUCCUCCCCCCCACCCCUCCCCCCCAACAUUUGCUAUCUGAAUUGUUGCUUAGAUACUGAAUAGAAUUAGUCCUGAUGGGCUUUGGGUGGAUGAUCGAAUAUUUCCUGUUGAGGGAUGGGAAACUCUUUCUUAGAACUGGCAGUGGCAGAUGUGGUAACCUAGAGAUGGAGAAUAUCCUUCCUGGGAGGAAGGAGUCUCCAGCAAGGACAGACAGCUCCUGUGACUGCUGCUGACAUUCAUGAAUGCAGUAUGGGAGUACUCAAAGUGAUUCAGGAAUUUCUUGGCACACAUAAUAUCCACAUUAGGAAAAUGUUUUGUAUCAUUUCAGAGAUGGUCUAGCUUGUCCAGCGUCUUCAAAGAGGUUAUUGGAGAAACUAUGAAAACAGCAUAUCAGGAUUAUAAAGGUUUAUUGAGAGCUAGAUAGAAAUGAAAGGGAGGACUGAAAAAUGUUAUGGAAGAAUGAAAACAACAUCUGAAAGUACAGCAUCAGAACUGAAUCUGCAGAGAACUCCUGGAUGUAUGUCACAUGCAAACUCGUAUGCAGAGAAGAUACUUGAGAAGCAAGGAGUUCAAUCUAGCAAGGAACAGAUUUUUCAAAAUCAGACAUAGAGAAACAGUAAGAAGCACCUACUAUGUUUGGAAUGUUACACAUACAGGUGCAAUUGCCCAAUUUAGAAAUGAGUCUGACAUUCCUGCUCACAAUCUAGGAGCAAGCGAAUGUUUGUGUGCACCAUUGCUGUAAAUCAAUCUCAUCACCUAUGAAUAUCUUGCUUUUGGAAAUACCAAUAUUUUAAAAUGAAAAAAAAUAAAAAUGCCUCUCUUCAGUUUCUUCCUAAAAUAGGAUGCCUAAUGUUGGUAAAAUUAUUUCAAGAUUUAUCUCACUGGCUUUUCUAUAACAGCCAUUUCUCCGUGUACUGCUUCCCAAAGUGGUAGUGGCAGAGCUGUGACAUAUCAUCAACGAACAUUAUGGGCUUGGUGCUUGCAAACCAUUUUUAAUUAGAAAGCAUCUUAGUGAAACCCCCUACCCCUGUCAAUUUCCAAAAUUUGGGCUACUUAAACCUUCAGAAGUGUCUAGGAUCCUUAAUUUCUACUAUACUUUACUCUUAAAAAAACCAAAAGAAGAUGUAUAAAAGAAAUAAAGUCACAUCAACACCUUAUACAGGGGAGAAUAGCUAGAAAUUUGAGAAUAGAAGCACAUUGUAUUUAAUUCACAGGUAACACCCCCUUUACAUUACGAGUGAGCCAGGGCACUACUAUUGUAUUCCAUUCCUCAGCUAGCUGGAAUGGCAUGUAAGUAAAGCCCAGCUCUGCUGUGUUGUCUUCUUCCCUCCUUUGCCUGGUGGUUUUGUUGUUCUGGGGAUGAACAUGGGAUGCUCUGCUCCCUACCAGCCCCAGCCACCCCCUGAUGGUUUCUGUCUCAGGAGGGGAAGCCUUGGUUCCAGACAUUUUGCACAGUGCCUGCUGUAUGGGACCCUACCACUGGGAAGAGCAAGGUGGCUCUGAGACAGAGGAUAGACUAGACUUGACUAGACCAGAACAGUUCUAUUGCAAGGGACCUACAGAGAUCAUCUAGUCCAAGCAGAUUUUAGAUAUCAGCAAAGCCUUCUGCAGGGACAGACAGUGUUUUGUCACCAAGUGCAGACAUGCUGCAGAUGCAGUCCCCCACUCCUCAGAGGAAUGCAAGGGAUGAGUGCUGGCACAGCACAGACACAGGACUUCAGGCUGUCACAGCAACACAAGGCAGCAGCCCUGGGAAACAAGGCUCAGAGAAUCACAGAAUAAGCUGAGUUGGACGGGACCCACAAGGAUCACUGAGUCCAUCUCCUGGUCCUGCUCAGCACCAAGGGUCACACCAUGUGUGUGAGAGCAUUCUUCAAACACUUCCUGAGCUCUGCCAGCCUUGGUGCUUGGUGCUCAGGAGUGCAGGGAGCCAGGGCAGUGUUUGCUGUUGGGGGUGAAGGAAGGGCCCCAUCCUGCAAUAGCAUUUCUGUCUUCACCCUUCCUAUCUCUGCAGUAGGGGUGGCAGUAGCAAGCCUGGUUUUCCAUCACAGUGCUGCCCUUCCCCUUUCCUGUGGCAGGAGCAACUCAGCCCUGGCCCCUUGUUCUGAGGAUAGCAAUUCUCAGUGCCACCAGCUCUUCUGAGGAGCCUUUGGUUGAUUCUGCCUUGAAUUCCCCAUAGCAGAGUGCUGCAGUUAAAGCUGGGCACUCACAGCAGCCCCUGGUCCUAAGGCAGCCCACAGCAAAGGUAUAAAUGUGUCCCUCACAGGAAUUCUUAAGGAAAAGCCAAAGGCUUAAGUUAUAUUAGGAUUCAGAGCUUGCAGCCAGGUUUUGCACCAGCAGAAUAACCCCAUGGCUAAGGCAAGGUCAGUGAAACUGGAGAGCCCGGCCCAUCUCAGCCUGCAGGGAUCCGAACGCGCACACACAUCCAUCGGGAAUAUUGUAACCACAAACUGUGCUGCUGCCCAUGCAGCAAAACCAGACCUUUCCACCACAGGGCCCACUGAGGAGCUGCUGCCUCAUCCUCCAGCCCUUCACUGCCUCUUUCUGAGGGAAUUUCAGCAAUCUGCUCCAGCCUCGAACCUGUACUAUGAACCAGCAAAAGCCCCGGACUCGGAUGCCUUUGAAAUCACUUUGCUCUAUUUCUUCCAACAAUUCCCAUUUAUAUACUGUGACAUUUAAGUGUCCCAGACCCUUGAAGCAGAACGACUGGGCAAUUAUAACCUGCAUUUGUUGUUCAGCUUGCGCCCCCCUCCCGUGAGCUGAACCGUGAAAACAGAGCUCACACCAGCUCUGCUCUUGAGAGCAGGCAGCACCAUUUAUAAACCUCAAGGAUGGGCUUUAUGGCCCAUCCACAGUCACGGAUGCAGAACUCCUGCAGGUGCACAAAGCUUGAUGUUCAAAUAGUCAGUCUGAUCUCCAGAUUCUUCCUUCCACAAGGCCCGAAAAGCUUCUCAAUAGAAAAGAGCUAAUCUGAAUUUCCCAUCCAAAAAUCCUGGUUUUAUCUCUGUUUGCAGACUCUCUUGUUUCUUGGCCUAUUCACAGUGGAGGGUGCUGUAUAAAGAUUAUUUAUUAUCAACCUCCCUGGGAAUGGAGUGGGACUGUUUAUAAUAAUCCUUUGUAUUUCUUUAACACUUCAGGCCUGAUUUCCUAGCUCUUGGCAAAUGUGAGCACUUCAGCCUUGUGAUGGCUAUUCAGGAAGGUCAGUGCUGUUAUCCAUGGGUUACAGGUGGGAAACUGAGGCACAAAGGUCUUAAAUGGCCACUGGCAUCCCUGGCUGCUGUGUGAAGUGGAUUUAGAUGCAAAGCAUUCCAGCUUUAGCUCUGUGCCAGCCCUCUCGUAACAGGCCCAGCAGGAAGAGGUGAGUAUGAAGAAUUCUGCCAUCCCAACAGUAGUACAAUUUGCCAACUCUUGCCUGGAUAUGGGGAGCUCUGAACAGGACUGACGGGUCACAGGGUCUGGGGCCUGUAUCACCUUCCAUCACCUUUGCUCUGGGGCAGUGACUCACACUGGGCGCUUAGGUAGGACAGAUGACACACACAACACUGCAGAAUUGCCUGGUGUUUUCUGUCAAGAGACCUUGAUGAGAGUCAGAAGGUACAUUUCUAACACAGCCAAUUCCUUUCCAACCACAAAGACAUCCUUCCUUCCCCAUGUGUGUCUGUCACUUGUUUUGAUAGCUGCCAUAUUUUUCUAACAUGAAAUAGACACACAUAAUAUGAUCCCCCCCCCAUUUCUCAAGUUUAUCUCAUGCAAACAUAUUUAGGAACCGGAUAACAGAGCAGAAUGCUGGCCUUCAAACCAUAACUUUUAAUGUUGGGUGAAAAUUAAAGCAAAAAUAGGUAUUAAAUUUGAGAGAAGCUGAAAAAGUUCUGUUGGAACUUGGAGGAAUUUCAAAUGUUAUUUUUAACCAGACUUUUAGCUCUUAUGGGAAACAAAACUUAGAAGGACAGAUAUAAUUAGGUCAGAUAUUGAGAAACUUAUUAUGCUUUGCUACGGAUGAUCCCAGGAGAAUGUAACUUAAGCCCUUUUUUUUGUAUUAAGAUUCAAUCAUGGUUCUUCACUUUUUAGUGUAAAAUAAAGUAGGGUAAAAAUAUGUUUGUAUUACUAACUGCUUCAGCAUCUGAAGCAAUGGAUGUUUGACAAGAAAUCUGAGGACAGAAGGCAAAGUUUUUAUUUCACUUUGUACCAAAAUACAUAACAUUAUGCUAGCAUCUGUGCCAGCUUUUGUUCACUGUGCUUUUGUUCACUGUAAUACAAUUGAUUUACUGGUGUAUCCUGGGAAUAUCUGAUGUUUGGUAUCUCCCAAGCUCCACUGUGCAAAUAUUAACUGCACCUUGCAGUAGGAUUGCAAUGCAAACAUCAUUCCUAUUACAAGUGAGGAAACUGAGGCAAAGAGCCCCAGUUGUUUGAUCAGCCCUGAGCCUGUUUCACUGCUGCAGUCAGGACUUCAGAACUUCUGCCUUCUGCUCCCACUGCUUCUGCAGAGAGAUCCACCUUGACACGAGAAGUGUGUGCUUCUUCCAGGGGAGAAAAGCCUUUAUCAAAAGAAGAAAGGAGCCAGUAGGUGGCUGAUAGUGCUGUUAACACAUGGAUCUGUCAUUACUCACAGCAUUUAUCAUGUCUGUUGCUGUGAAGCACACUGUUCUUCUUUAAAGUAGGUGUCUAAUUUGAGGGAUACUGGUUUUCCUAGCAGCUGCAGUGAUCUGGGGAGGGAGACGUGGUGAGUUGCCUGCAGUGAGAUAUUGCACAUCAUUUGUUGUAAAGUCUGCCCAGAGAGGGGUGAAAGUGGACUGAAGUCAUGCUAGGAAGCUCCUGGAUACCAAGUUUUCCCAGCACAGUCCCAUGGGCUUUGGAGUAGAAAAAACCAAUAUUCUCACUAACAAAGAUUUGUUGGCAUCUCUCCUGGAACUCAAAGCCAAAUCAGACACAACACAUAAAGGUGAAAAAAGCCAGAUAGCUUGAAUUUUUCAGGGAGGUGGUUUCACUCUGUCAGCAGCAACAGGUCUCCAUUGCUAAUGUAAAAUGUUUCUCCAUCCUACAGAGAAGUUGUGUGUAUAGUUAUUAGCAAAACCUUUGUAGUGUAGGAUCAAAAUGCAAAUACCUGCAGUGACUGGAGUAUGUGGAUUUGGGGCUCAGGUUCAAACCUUCAUCACAGAUGAACGGAAUAGAAGGAAUCUCUUGUUUCUAGACCAUGUCCAGGCCAGAAGUGGUGGUAAAUCUGAACAAUGGAUUUAUCUGGAAUUCAUCUUGAAUCUGAAGCAAAGAGCAGCCAGAUGCAGUGGCAGGACCAUCUGGAGCUAGGUAAGCACACUCAAGACAAGCUGAUUCAACUGGUGUUUACCUGGAGCAAGACUCCCUACCUAACGUGACAUUGGAGAAACAUAAAAGAAGGCAGGAAACAGAGGGUAUUUAAACAGGAAACAUCAAUAUUUCUUAUAAUAUUUUUGACAAGUAUAGGUAAAAGGCAACCAUGUAAAUUCCUAUGGUAAGUUAAAAUCUCAUGCUUGAUCAAGACAAAGUGGUGGAAGGUAACUGAUUCCAGUGCUGCAUAUAUUUGUAGCAACACAAAAGUGUCAUCCAUCCCACUGUUGCCAGUAUUCAGGAGUUUACUUGCUAUCUGUACUGGUAAAUGGUAGCAAUUGCAGUCAGAGUUUCCUUGUCUGCCACAGGAGGUAUUAAGGUUGAUGAGCUGUUCAGAAUUAUUACUAAUGACUACAACGGAGUGAUACUGCUCUUCACCUUCAAGGUAGUAAGUGGUGUCAAACUAUGGCAAUAAUUUCCUGGAACAAACAACCUAGUUUUACUUUCUAAUGUAAAUUGUACUCUCAUUGAUGCAAUAAACUGCAACUGUUUCUUCAGGCUGUGGAAGACUUCCAGUAACUCAUAAAAGCCUCAAUCAUGUAAUUCUGUUGGGUGCUGCUUCCUCCCAGAGCCUUGCUAGCUGAUCCUGCAAUAGGGGCCAUACAAAAGAGAUUGUGUACAGCAAAUUUGGUCAUUUCCAAACAGAGCUUGCUUGCUGUCUCUCAAACAUGCCACUUCCUACGUGCAGCCACAGAACCUCACUGCCCCAAGAGACUCAAAUCAGCCAAGCUGUAACUCAAAGUCCAGAAGUAACUAUUCUGAGAUAGGGAAGUAUCUUGGAUAACCUGUUUGGCAUAACACUUCUUGGUAGCAUCCAGACAACAAAUUGACUUAAAUUAAAGCUAAUUAAGAUUAAUAUUAUCUGAGAAUGCACAUGCUUUCCUGUACUGAGUAACUCUGCAGCCACACUUCUACAACAGUACUUUCUUACCCACUGCUUCUUUGUGUUUCUGAUCUGAGUCAUCUGUCAAGUCUAUCUCAAGCCUUGUCAAGCCUUGUAUAGUUCUGCCAAGAGAGUAAAUUUCCUUACUCAGGGUGGAUUGGAUAAAAGAAGUUUGGUUGGUUUUAUUUUGCUUUCUUUUCUGAGUUUCUUUUUUUUUUUUUUUUUCCUGAAGGAGAUGGUUUAACUUUUCUCAAUCCAAAAAACUUAAGACAACCAAGUGAAGUUUUUGCUUCUGUACCAAGAGUCUGAUUUUCCCAGGAUACUAAUAUCAUGUGGAUGCAUAAUGCUGCAUUCUAAUGACUGGUGUAACAGUGACAGCUCUCUCCUGAUGCAAUGUCCAAGCUCUGAAUUCAACAUCUGAGUGUUCCCUGCUGCCAGCAAUAGUGCCUGCACCUCUAGAGUAGUGGCAAGGGUGCAGACAGUGAAGAAAGCAAACUCUACUUCAGGUUUUACAAUGCUCAGCUAAAAUACAUUAUCAGGCCAACAUGCAACUUCAUCCUCAGGCUUUGAGAGGUGAAAUUAAAUUCCUUUUAAUCCUUGAAACAUCAUGUUUCACUGUUAGCAUUCAAGGCAAAGAGUAAGAUGGCUACUUGAAUUUUCUGGUUUUUCAGAGGAAAGCAAAACCAAAUUUUUUCCUGGUUUGAUACCAGAGAGACAUUGUCUACUUGAAGUAGAGCCAGUUUGUGAAAAUGAGUUAAAAGUCAUCUCCUUGCCAAUUUUUGUGGGUGUUCAUGCUGCCUGGUUAGCAAGAAAAAUCCUGCAGGGAAUCUCAUGAAUGUCAGUGCAAGCAGGUAAUGAAGAGCUAAGCCUCUGCUACAUUUCUUUCUUCCUUCCUUUGAGGAGGAGGAGGAGAGGGGAAGGCAGAUGGUACAUCUUCUCUGGAGCACUGUGCUUAUGUCUGUUUUUGAAGCUUUACCUCUAUAGAAUUGAUGUGUUUGACUAAAGGAAUAUAUCUUUGCUGCAGAAAACAGGAGCAAGACAUCAGCAUGUUCCGUGACUGCAUUUUUCUGAGCUGGAGAAAAAGUACUAUUGAGAGCAGGGAAGGGAGAGGGCAGGAGCUGCUCACUGCAGAGCAGUUCCAGCUAGAGCAGAAAAUAUCCGUGACUACUGCCAACGUGCCAAGUGGAAGGUGUUGGAGAGUGUUGUUCAGAUUUACCAAAUUGAUGUGAUUUAUUGAGCUUUUCUUUCAUCCCCCUCCAAAAAUGUUAUGUCUGUUCAAAUACAUUUUUUACUUUAUUGCUCACAGUUGGAGGUGUUUCACACAAUGAGGCACAGGUACUAUAAUGCAGUUUCCCCAGAUUUCUCCAUGAAAGCUCAAAAAUGCCUAAGUGUUCUUAUUUUUUUGGAUAGACCCUCUAAAAAUUGAACCUAACCCCUGUUCUAGCAGUCAGUUUAUAGCAGAACAGUAGGAAAACCUAUUUCAAUUUGGACUUUAUAGGUACAUUAAAAUACUUUUUUUUUUUUUUUAUUCCAGGUAAAGACAUAGCCUAGGACUUCUUGGGGGAAAAACCCAAACAAGUCUUUAAGCCAUUGUUACAUUAAAUUUUGUUCAUUAGUUUCUUAUCACAUUCUAGGGAAGACAAAAAUGUGCAUACUUAUAAAAUCCAGGGGAAAUAUUUCCUAAAUAAAAGGAGCAUAUAAAUAAAAGGGGCAUAAAAGGCUUCUGUUUCAGCCAGCUGGGAGGUUUGGAGUCUACCAUAUUUGGGGGAGGAAAGUAUGUUAAAAACACAUGUUAAUUUUAUGCUGAACACACUGAAUGGUGUUCAUUUCAGCAGUCACCCUUCUGAAAACAUUUCAUUCCAACAUAUUACCGUAGAAUCACAGAAUGGUUUGGGUUGGGAGGGACCUUAAAGAU